rnacentral:rRNA from 1 species
UACGUAGGUGGCAAGCGUUGUCCGGAUUUACUGGGCGUAAAGAGCGCGCAGGCGGUCGUACAAGUCGCGUGUGAAAGCCCCCGGCUCAACUGGGGAGGGUCACGCGAUACUGUUCGACUCGAAGGCAGGAGAGGGAAGCAGAAUUCCCGGUGCAGUGGUGAAAUGCGUAGAUAUCGGGAGGAAUACCAGUGGCGAAGGCGGCUUCCUGGCCUGUUCUUGACGCUGAGGCGCGAAAGCUAGGGUAGCAAACGGG